ensembl:lncRNA
CUCUGUGGCCCCGGCGCGCCCAGCGGGAUGGGAGCUGCCCGCGGCGCGGGGCGAGCGGGCCUGGCGGAAUGGUAACAGAGGAGUAGAAUGAGUGGUGAGGCAUUUGGGACAGGCUGCUGGGUGAGGUGGUGGAGUCACCAUCUGUGGAGAUUUUCAAGAAGUGCCUGAAGAUGUGGCAUUUAAGGACAUGGUUAGUGGGCAUGGUGGUAAUGGAUUGAUGGUUGAACUACAUAAUCUUCAUGGUCUUUUCCAACUCUAAAGAUUCUAUGAUUCUGUGAUUCAUCUUCCAUGACUGGGCCAUCUGGGAACUGGUGAUAUGGUCACAUGGGAAACCAAACAUCAUUUGUAGGUUUGUAGUGCUAUGAUUCAAGUUUUUGGAGUGUUCACCUGGCAAAUGUGAGAGUGGAAAAAGCUGGAGAGAGAACUGCUCAGGGUAGUUCUAAAUUUAAGGCAUUUGGGAGAGAAAAUGCAGUUUCUCAUUACUUUGGUUAAAAGCCUUCAGAAGGCAUUCGGUCUGUUGUAGUAAGCUGUGCCAUUCACCUCUUUCUGAUACGACAGCAAGUACAUUGCCAGCGUUACAGACAUGGAAACAUGGAAAUGCCUUUUUGCCUUCUGUCUACUGACAAAUGGUGAUUACCCUGUGCUAGUAAAGGACUUUUAGAUUGCUGUCCUUCACCAAUCUGAACUCAGAGACAUGAGUUCACUUUUGUACGUGUUAAUUUCAGAUAUCUAAAUAGUGGCAUCUCAGAAUUUAUCCAGACUUCCAUUAGCAUGUGUUGUCCAUUGAAUGUCAGUCAGCAACGUGUCUGGGACAUCUUCAGGAAUGUGCAACCUGAAUCCUUAGCAGCACACAAACUCUUCAAAAACACCUUCUCUGGGGAAUAUAAAUGACUGCUCAUUGCAAAAUCACCCAAGAGUGCAACAUGCAGGGUGAAUGGUUUUCAUUUCCAUGGACUGUAAUAUACAUUGCAAAAUCUUUUUUUUUUUUUUUAUCCCCAGAGACACAGAAAGUAACUCAUACAAGAAAAUCCUUUAUAAUCCCCAGAUACUGUAAAACACAGCAGCAAAAUCCCUCUGUCAUGCUUAAAACACAUACUGAAAAAUCCCACUUCUGUUGCAGAGCAGUAAAACUUACAGCAAAUUCCUGUUCCCUGUUUCUACUUCCCUCCAGACAGACAAAAUAUUUUCUGUCCCAGCCUUAUUACUUGACACAGUAUUUGCACAAACACAUUAUGAGUACUUCCCUUUCUGUGUCAACCAAUAAUAUGCAACUCAUGGAUGCUGGCAACAUCCCAGAAGCAUUGUAAAGGAUAGCUGUGGGAUUUGAACUCAGAAUGCCAGAUCCCAUGAUGUUGAACAUAUGACUGCAGCAUAGGUAAGCAGGGUGAAUUCAGCACCCUGCCAGGCAUCUUCAGUUUUUCUUUGAGUAAGAAUGACUAAGUAGGUCAUUUGCCUUUCCUUGGAUGACAUUCUUGACUGGAACAGACACAGCUGCCAAGUGAAAGGAGAGCUACUCCCUUAUGGCUGUAAGCACGCAAUGCUGGUGGGGAGGUGAGAUGUCCUUAGCCACCCUGUGUGUAGGAUCCUGAAGGAGUGCUCAGCUACUGCUGUGCUCUCAAGGCCCACACUUAUGUUGCAGUAACUAGGCUCCUAUAUUCUGGGUGCUCAAAUGUAUACCUAAGUAGCCAGAAAGGCUAUGAAGAAGUAGUCCUAUUUCACCUGGUGCAGAGUAUCAGUACAGGAUGGUUUGUGUCAGAAUCCAUAAAGAUUACACUGACAAUCUGGUAAACAUAACAGGAGUUUCAUCAGAGGUGACAAAUGUCAUCAACUACUAUGAUCUGCAGCACUUAAAUUUUAUUUCAGAGGCUGUCUUUCCCACCCUGCACAGUUUUCUCUUCCUUGACCUUCGCAAGCAGCAAUCAUGAUGUUUAGCAAGCUUUACCCGUUUUUUUAACAAGUGCUUUCUACAUGUUGGCUUCAGACUUCUAGAGAUAUUUGCACUGAUAAAAAUUUCAAAAGCAAAUGAAAAGCCUAAUUAAAGAUUUUCUUAUAUGCUUAAGGAUGUAAUUUUCCUGUAAGAUUCAAUGCUCCACUGAAUUGUAAUAGAGCAGUAUUAAAAUGCAGUUAUUGCUUAUUAGGCAUAAUGAGCAUAAUGCAUAAUCACAUCAAAAAAUGAACACAUACUGCCAUGAAACAAAGCCCGUGGGACUCCUCUGAUACUUAGGAAAUCAUUUCUGACAUAAACUUCAUUUUCUUCCAUGAUUUUAUAACAAUGUGAAGUGUUAAAAUAGGAAGUAAACUUGCAGCUUCGCAUCCCUGAACAUCCACCUCCACAUCUCAGUGUCUUUUAAGAGCGUUAGGCCAGGUUCCAGCAUGGAUUCAGUCUCUGUUAGAACUCCAAUCCCCUCAAGAGCAUUAGGCUUAAAGCCAGCAUUCAUUUACUCUUGUAACGGCUUAAAUUAACUCCUGUUAAUUCAAGCCCUUUCUUACUAUUUUAGAUAGAAUAAGAGUUGAGAGAUGGAUUCGAUCAUCCAGUCUGAGGGCCACCCAUCUUGCCAGUCUGUCUUUGGAGACUUAAAAUGCUGUGUAAAAGGGUUCGGGGAGGAGAGAUGACCAGCCACUUGUGAACAGAGGGAGGGGCUGGGAAGCCCCCCUUUAUAGGUGGGGAGAAAAGGCAUGGGGAUGGUCUGAUUUAUUUACUAUGUGUGCUAUUUGACAGCAAGUGCCAAACGAAGGUAAGAUUUCAGUAGGCUGGGCACUGUGCUAAUGAUAUUUGGGAUACUUUUCCUGGAGGAACCGAACAGGCAAGACUGAAAGAUGGGAA